rnacentral:rRNA from 1 species
GCAGUCGCCGCGGUAACACGUAGGGUGCAAGCGUUAAUCGGAAUUACUGGGCGUAAAGCGUGCGCAGGCGGUUAUAUAAGACAGAUGUGAAAUCCCCGGGCUCAACCUGGGAACUGCAUUUGUGACUGUAUAGCUAGAGUACGGCAGAGGGGGAUGGAAUUCCGCGUGUAGCAGUGAAAUGCGUAGAUAUGCGGAGGAACACCGAUGGCGAAGGCAAUCCCCUGGGCCUGUACUGACGCUCAUGCACGAAAGCGUGGGGAGCAAACAGGAUUAGAUACCCCGGUAGUCCCUGUCUCUUAUAC